rnacentral:tRNA from 2 species
GCUCCUGUGGUGGAACUGGCAGACACACCGCACUCAAAAUGCGGCGCCGAGAGGCAUGCGGGUUCGAGUCCCGCCGGGAGCACCA